UCAGAGAUAAUUCUGUAUCUGACUGAGAGU
rnacentral:piRNA from 1 species